rnacentral:snRNA from 1 species
GUGCUCGCUUCGGUAGCACAUAUACUAAAAUUGGAAAGAUACAGAGAAGAUUAGCAUGGCCUCUGUGCAAAGAUGACAUGCAAACUCAUGAAGCGUUCCUUUUUUUU